rnacentral:rRNA from 1 species
UUACCUGCAAGUCGAACGAUGAACCACUUCGGUGGGGAUUAGUGGCGAACGGGUGAGUAACACGUGGGCAAUCUGCCCUGCACUCUGGGACAAGCCCUGGAAACGGGGUCUAAUACCGGAUACUGACCAUCACGGGCAUCCGUGGUGUUCGAAAGCUCCGGCGGUGCAGGAUGAGCCCGCGGCCUAUCAGCUAGUUGGUGAGGUAAUGGCUCACCAAGGCGACGACGGGUAGCCGGCCUGAGAGGGCGACCGGCCACACUGGGACUGAGACACGGCCCAGACUCCUACGGGAGGCAGCAGUGGGGAAUAUUGCACAAUGGGCGAAAGCCUGAUGCAGCGACGCCGCGUGAGGGAUGACGGCCUUCGGGUUGUAAACCUCUUUCAGCAGGGAAGAAGCGAAAGUGACGGUACCUGCAGAAGAAGCGCCGGCUAACUACGUGCCAGCAGCGGGCGGUAAUUA